rnacentral:rRNA from 1 species
UGGGGAAUUUUGGACAAUGGGGGAAACCCUGAUCCAGCCAUCCCGCGUGUGCGGUGAAGGCCUUCGGGUUGUAAAGCACUUUUGGCAGGAAAGAAACGUCGCGGGUUAAUACCCCGCGAAACUGACGGUACCUGCAGAAUAAGCACCGGCUAACUACGUGCCAGCAGCCGCGGUAAUACGUAGGGUGCAAGCGUUAAUCGGAAUUACUGGGCGUAAAGCGUGCGCAGGCGGUUCGGAAAGAAAGAUGUGAAAUCCCAGAGCUUAACUUUGGAACUGCAUUUUUAACUACCGGGCUAGAGUGUGUCAGAGGGAGGUGGAAUUCCGCGUGUAGCAGUGAAAUGCGUAGAUAUGCGGAGGAACACCGAUGGCGAAGGCAGCCUCCUGGGAUAACACUGACGCUCAUGCACGAAAGCGUGGGGAGCAAACAGGAUUAGAUACCCUGGUAGUCCACGCCCUAAACGAUGUCAACUAGCUGUUGGGGGCCUUCGGGCCUUGGUAGCGCAGCUAACGCGUGAAGUUGACCGCCUGGGGAGUACGGUCGCAAGAUUAAAACUCAAAUGAAUUGACGGGGUCGAUAC